GCAUGGCUUUGUUUUCGAGUUAUUUAUGUAUGCAGAUUUCAGCCUUCUGGGUGAGCUUUCCUGCCGCUGAGUAUCACAGAUUGUUCCAACACUCACUUUCAUCAUUUCCUUCACGAGGAAAGAGGCCCACGAAGGUUAAAUGACUUAUAUGAGGUCACAAAGUCACUUGGAGACAAAAUCAGCAGUAGGAUCUCGGUUUCCAGCCCAGUGCAAUUUCUGCUCUAUCCCGCUGACCUCAUUGUUGAGGUAUGUCCUUAUAGCAGUGUGAGAACCGACUAAUACAGUUCCUUAGGAAGCCCCUGCUGGGUAUGGAUGGGGAGUGAAGCAAGGUGGGCCCAGAAGCUGCCGCUGGCUGAGAGACCAUGAAGAAAGUGUAUAGAAUCUCCACCAUCACCAGAGGAAGAGAGCUUGGCAGGAAAGUUACUUCCAUGAAUGGAUGAGUUGAAGUGAACAGCGUCUUGGGCAAAACUGAAGGGUAGUUAGUCGGGUUUGUCUCUGGUGGGCUUUCAGCUCCACUCCCUGCAUCCCAUUCCCACAUCGUGAUGGUCCCCUCAUAGGCCCAGGGCUACCACCUUGGAGCAUAGGUGGGGAUCCUCCAGCCAGGGUCCUUCCUUCACAGGGAGUCAGAGCCCUCUGCUCCGGAAUUGCCCUGCCCCAGGUCGGCCAUCUAUCAAAAGCCCCACUAUCCCCUAAAGACCCACCCUCAAGCAGCAGAUGUGCAGCAAGGGAGCCGCAAAUGUCAUUCCUGUGACCCCGAAGCAGUCUAGUGUGUUACCUCUCUCAGGGCUGCUAUGGGCUGAAUUGCUUUUCCCCAAAAUUUCUAUGCUGCUUCCCUAACCCCCAGCGCCUCAGAAUCUAACUCUGGAUAGGACCUGUGAAUAAGUGAUUAAGUUAAAAUGGGGUCCUGUGGAUGGGCCCUAACCCAAUCUGACUGGUGUCCUUUUAAGAAGAGGAAGAGACACCAGAGAUGUGCACACUCAGAGACAAGACACAUGAGGACACAGAGACAAGGCGGCUACCUGCAAGCCAGGGAGAGGGGCCUCGGGGAAGCCAACCCUGCCUACGCCUUGAUCUUGGACUUCCAGCCUCCAGAACUCCAGAAUCUGAGUGAAAUGGGUAUAAAUCAUGAGCUAGGAUACAGUUCAAUUAUUCCUAUGAUGAAAAGAUUUUGGUGUUUGUGGGAAUUCUUGGAACCAAUUCCCUGUGGGUACCGAGGAGCACCUGUACAUGUCACAUGUUGCGUAUUCAUUCAUCGGUGGGUGGACACUGCAGCAGUCUCCAUCCCUUGCCUACUGUGAAUAACGCUGGUAUGGACAUGUGCUAUCCUGCUUUUAUAUUUACAAACUCUUCACUAAAUUAUCAGAUUCUCACAAUGACUUUGUGAAGUACGUAUCAUGAUUACUUUCUCAUUUUUCAGAUGAGGACACUGUGACUUUAUAUGGCCAUGUUUCCAUUGUUAAUAUUGCAAUUUGGGGAAUUAAUGAAGGGUUUGGGGAGCAUGCCUCACAAUGCCAGGGAUUCACUCCAAGUGUGGGCACACAUAUGUGUGUAUACGUAUGUGUAUGUGUGUGUGCGGUAUAUGUGUGUAUGUGAGUGCAAUGUGUGAUGCGUAUGUGAGUGUAUGUCUGUGUGUGUGUGUGUGUGUGUGUGUUGUGUGUGUGGUGGAUGUGUGCGGUGGAUGAUGAGUGUGUGGUGUGUGUGAUGCAUAUGUGUGUGUGGUGUGAGUGUAUGUGUGUGGUGUGUGUGUGGUGUGUGAGUGUAUGUGUGUGGUGUGUGUGUGGUGUAUAUGAAUGUGCAUGAUGUGUAUGUGUGUGUGCAUGUGAUGUGUGAGUAUGUGUUUUGUGUGUGGUGUGUGCAGUGUGUGUGUGAUGUGUGAGUGUAUGUGUGUGCUGUGUGUGUGUGUGGUGUGUGUGUGAUGUGUAUGUGAGUGUGUGAUGUGUGUGAAUGUGGGUUGUAUGCAUG
rnacentral:lncRNA from 1 species